rnacentral:lncRNA from 1 species
CUAAGAAUGCUACCUUGUUUAGCAGUAUUUCUGCUUUGUUUUGAAAACAGAGAAACGUGAAAUCUCCAAUCUGAGGGAAAGAUUCAUGAUGAUGAUCUGGGAGCUGCUAAAUCACCCACCUGCUUCCCCAGCUGACCAACAAAGAGGUAGAAUAUCAUACAGGAGUGAGUUGAUGCAAGAUGGAGAGAGGAGAAAGAAAAGGAGCCUACCAAGAAAUAGCAGCACAAAGGACAGUGAACAAGAUCAUGUUGUCCAGAUGCCAAUUUCAGGAAAAACAGCUGUCCAGAUUUUAGGGAGAAAACUACUUCCUCAAGGCACCUGGAGUGAGUUGAUACUGUACAAGUCCCUUUUUGUGUGGAAAAUGUUAUACGCCUCUGACAACUGAAGACCAAGGCACAUAAGUUUCCCAAAAGUGCUGCAUAUGUGUGAUUCCUUUAACCUAUCACAAUGAUUUCCUGGGAAGUUACAGACUUGCAGCUGCAACUUUGACCUAUAAUUCAGUGAUUUUAUGAGAAAAAAUGUACUAGUGAAAAGUGUUCCAGUGAAAAGCUGAGUAUUUCAAAACAAAACAAAACUGCAUAUAAAGCCUCUCUUUUUCAAUAUCUGUUUUUUAUGAC